UACGGAAGAUGCGAGCGUUAUCCGGAUUUAUUGGGUUUAAAGGGUGCGCAGGCGGCACGGCAAGCCGGCGGUCAAAUCGCGGGGCUCAACCCCGCCCAGCCGUCGGAACUGCCGGGCUAGAGUGGGCGAGAAGUGCGCGGAAUGCGUGGUGUAGCGGUGAAAUGCAUAGAUAUUACGCAGAACUCCGAUUGCGAAGGCAGCGCACCGGCGCCCUACUGACGCUCAGGCACGAAAGCGUGGGUAUCGAACAGG
rnacentral:rRNA from 1 species